AUGCGGAGGGUGCAAGCGUUACUCGGAAUCACUGGGCGUAAAGCGCGCGCAGGCGGCUAUUUAAGUUGGAUGUGAAAGCCUACGGCUCAACCGUAGAACUGCAUCCAAAACUAUUUAGCUAGAGUGUGGGAGAGGAAGAUGGAAUUAGUUGUGUAGGGGUAAAAUCCGUAGAGAUAACUAGGAAUACCAAAAGCGAAGGCAAUCUUCUGGAACACUACUGACGCUGAGGCGGGAAAGCGUGGGGAGCAAACAGGAUUAGAAACCCUAGUAGUCC
rnacentral:rRNA from 1 species